rnacentral:lncRNA from 1 species
GGACAGCAAGGUCAAGGCAGCUCCAGCUGCAAACACACCUUUGCGCAGGGUAGCACAAGACAAAUCGUGCCUCACAAAGUACCCUCGGUACUUGGUGUGGUAUGCAUUCCUCGCAGACCCUGCUAACAAACACGCCUCUGCUCCCAGAAAACUAAUCCUGAUUUCACAGUACGAAUAAUUCAAAAAAAAAAAAAAAAUUCAAACAAUUUCCAACCUUUACCGAUUUUUAUCUUUAACAGAAAAAUGUUCAAUCAAUUCACAACACCUGAUGUAACCAAAGUGAAAGCGAAAGUCUAUUUAAAAACCAGGGUUCAAAAUUUUGUUUAGCUUUUGGUUAGUACAAAUAAAUUAGGAGAUGAAUUCGUAGGGGUUUAAUUGUUUAGAUGCGAAAUUAGAAGAAAAUACGAUUAAUUCACUUAAUUGAGUGUUACCAGGAGAGGAUGAAGGAGACGACGGCGCAAGUGGCCGAGCAACCGGAAACAAGCCCUUUGCCGCAGCAUAGGCAUCGAGUGACGGCGGUGAGAACGGCCUGGC